GAAAUUCGCCUUCCAUGAAGCCGGAAUUGCUAGUAAUGGCAGGUCAGCAUACUGCCGUGAAUACGUUCCCGGGCCUUGUACACACCGCCCGUCACACCAUGAGAGUUGGAGAUACCCGAAGCCUGUGAGCUAACAAACGAGGCAGCAGUCGAAGGUAGAAUCAAUGAUUGGGGUGAAGUCGUAACAAGGUAUC
rnacentral:rRNA from 1 species